GUCACUUGGGAUCUGGAGAGUGAGCCCAUCCUGGAAUAGAAGUGCUCCAGCUCACUGGCAGUAAAAAUGUACAUGUUUAGUUUUGUUACUUCUAAAUAGAAAGUUCAGCCUUAAAUAUGCUCCAUGCAGCAGGCCUUUGUUAGUUCUUACCUGUUUAAACAGACUGGUUGCUCAGACCUCAUAUACUUACAUAAUUCAGAAAGCAACCUAUAUACAGUAAAAAGGUCUUUUGUCAGUGGCUGCCUUGCAUGCUUUUGCUAUGAGGUCACUCAAGUUAGCAAAGCAUAUAAUCGUUUAUCCUGGCUCCAUGUUUCCAAACCACACCCUGGCACUUCGGGAUGGAAAAGUAUGUGCAGUCCUGUAUUGCCUUGUCAAGCCCCUUCAAGUCAUCCCUUCCCGUUCCUGUGAUUUGGGAACCUCUCAGAUUGAAAAAACUUUUAAUUCACCUGAAGUUCAAGGAACAGUAACCUGAAUGAGUUCUUCCCAGGACAGCUGGGCAUGCAGCACCAGACUGGUGUGUAGCACAGGGAGCAAACUGAUCAUUUCCAGCAGAUCUGUAAGAAAGGACCAAGGGAUGGGAAGUGGACCAGGGAAUGUGCCCUUCAGUGCAAGGCAUGGAUGCUGAACUUUGUGCCACUAUGGAGCACAGAGCCUAUCAAGGCUGAAUAUUACAUGGGACAGGUUUGUUUAUAGUCAUUGUUAUGGUGGGAGAACAAAAGAGAAGCAAGUGGCUGAGUCUCAAGAAAGCCAGUGAAAAAAGUGAAGGUUCAAAAGGCUUGCGUUUAAGAUUCAACCAGAAGCCAGUGAUUGCUUUACAGACCAUCUUUCAGUGCAAGUUUACGAACUGCUGGAGUCCCAUGGAUCCUGGAGUCCCAGACUGAGCAGCACUCCUCUAACAGAGUUGUUUGAAUCCUGUAAUGGAAAGUGUUCCUUGUUCUCCCAGGAUAGACAUUUUUCUCAUGUGAUCUCGUGGAGUCAUUCUGCAAGGAGACAGCAGCAGCUUUUCUGUUGUAAAGAACUGAAUCAGCAGGUCCAAAGACAAGAAUAAAACAUUAGAAAAUGUAAGAAA